CCUACGGGUGGCAGCAGUGAGGAAUAUUGGUCAAUGGGCGGAAGCCUGAACCAGCCAAGUAGCGUGCAGGAUGACGGCCCUACGGGUUGUAAACUGCUUUUAUACGGGAAUAACGCGCCUUACGUGUAGGGCUUUGCAUGUACCUUAUGAAUAAGGACCGGCUAAUUCCGUGCCAGCAGCCGCGGUAAUACGGAGGGUCCGGGCGUUAUCCGGAUUUAUUGGGUUUAAAGGGAGCGUAGGCGGCUUGUCAAGCGUGCUGUGAAAUUUCGGGGCUCAACCCUGGAAUUGCAGCUGAAACUGGCGUGCUUGAGUCCAGGGGAGGUAGGCGGAAUUCGUGGUGUAGCGGUGAAAUGCUUAGAUAUGACGAAGAACACCGAUUGCGAAGGCAGCUUGCUGGAGUGGAACUGACGCUGAUGCUCGAAAGCGUGGGUAUCGAACAGGAUUAGAUACCCCUGUAGUC
rnacentral:rRNA from 1 species